CUUUAUUGAGUGAAGGACCAAGUGAGAGGCGCCCAUUGCUGGAUGUGGCCUUCCCGCCUCUGAGUUCUGGUGCUCUGCCUUGCUCCUGUACCGCCUGCACUGGCCAUUCCAAUUUGUGAUUUCUUGUGGGCAUCUCAGCUUUCUCCUUCAGCUGUGAUCCCCCAUCUGAAUCACAAGCAUCCCCAACUCAUUACAAUUUCUCAAAUUUCUCUUUGUAGCUCUGGAGCCUAUCCUGGGACUUGCUCUGUAGACCAGGCUGGCCUCGAACUCACAGAGAUCUGCCUGCCUCUGCCUCCCGAGUACUGGGAUUAGAGGCUACUUUUUCUUUUCUUCUUUCUUAUGAGUUGAAGAUCCAUCCCAAUUUGAUUGAUGGAGCCCUCUUGGCUGUGUAAGAUUUCACUGUAGCCAGGCAUGGUAGCACCUGCCUUCAAUCUCAGCACGCAGGAGGCAGAGGCAGGUGGAUCUAUCUCUGUGGGUUCAAAGACAGCCUGGUCUACAGAGUGAGUUCCAGGUCAGCCAGGGCAGUCACACAGAGAAACCCUGUCUUGAAAAACAAAACAAAAAGAUUUCACUGUCUUCUCCAGCUUGCUGGUCCCCCUGGCAGUAUCUUUUCAUAUGUCUCAGGGCCCAGCCUUGAGUGAAGUCCCAGGGAAAACAAACCAGGACAGACAAAAACACCUUUCAUACCAACGGGGCUCUCUCCUGCCUGGUGGAAGUGUGAACAGUGUUCCCGUUUGAGUGUGACAUGGCUCCUGCCGGUGUUUGAACACUUGGCUCCCACGUAGUGAGCCUGGCUGGAGGAAGCCCGUCACUGCCUGCCAUGGGCCUCCAAGGCCACAUCUUCUGGUUCCCUCCCUCCCAUGUUUCCUGCUUCCUGGCCCAGCAAGAUGUCACAUGAUCCUGCUGCCUUCCCAGGUGUCAUGCCUUCCCUGGCACCGGGCACAGAGCCCACUGGCCAAUAGCCUGGCAGGAAGAAGUUAGGCAGAAGGACCAGACUGAGAACACUGGGAUGAAGAGAGG
rnacentral:lncRNA from 1 species